GGGAAUUUCCGAAUGGGGAAACCCGGCCUCCUUAUGGAGGUCAUCACAUGCUGAAUACAUAGGCAUGUGAGGCGAACGCGGUGAACUGAAACAUCUAAGUAACCGGAGGAAGAGAAAACAAAAGUGAUUCCGUUAGUAGUGGCGAGCGAACGCGGAUUAGCCCAAACCAAUGUUGUUACGGCAAUAUUGGGGUUGUAGGACCACGAUAUUCAAUGCUAAGUGAAUUAGAACUGUUUGGAAAGACAGACCAGAGAGGGUGAUAGUCCCGUAAAAGUAAGCGAAGUUAUUGAUAGUGGUAUCCUGAGUAGUGCGGGACACGAGUAAUCCUGUAUGAAUCCACCGGGACCAUCCGGUAAGGCUAAAUACUCCUCAGAGACCGAUAGUGAACUAGUACCGUGAGGGAAAGGUGAAAAGAACCCUAAGUAAGGGAGUGAAAGAGAACCUGAAACCGUGCGCUUACAAGCGGUCGGAGCAUUUUCGAAUGUGACGGCGUGCCUUUUGCAUAAUGAGCCUACGAGUUACUGUUUCUAGCAAGGUUAAAUGUUUAAGACAUGGAGCCGUAGCGAAAGCGAGUCUGAAUAGGGCGCUUUAG
rnacentral:rRNA from 18 species